GUCCGAGGUCAUGCCUUCCUGAACACAUCUAAUUUAUCUGAUCUCUGAAGCUAAGCAGAGUGGGGUUUGGCUAGUGCUUGGGUGAGAGAGAAAGGGCAAGAGGAAAACAGAAUUAGACCUUAGGUC
rnacentral:rRNA from 1 species